AGCUGAAGAGCAACAGAGGAGAGAAGAGGCAGAGAGAUCAGAGCUGAAGAGCAACAGAGGAGAGAAGAGGCAGAGAGAUCAGAGCUGAAGAGCAACAGAGGAGAGAAGAGGCAGAGAGAUCAGAGCUGAAGAGCAACAGAGGAGAGAAGAGGCAGAGAGAUCAGAGCUGAAGAGCAACAGAGGAGAGAAGAGGCAGAGAGAUCAGAGCUGAAGAGCAACGGAGGAGAGAAGAGGCAGAGAGAUCAGAGCUGAAGAGCAACGGAGGAGAGAAGAGGCAGAGAGAUCAGAGCUGAAGAGCAACGGAGGAGAGAAGAGGCAGAGAGAGAUGAUGACCAGCACUGUCUUUAAAGGAGAGGACCAGACAUUCCCCACAUGGUUCCAUCCUAGAGCUACAAGACCCUAGAAUGAUGACCAG
ensembl:lncRNA